ensembl:rRNA 5S_rRNA 5S ribosomal RNA
GUCUCCGGCCAGACUACCCUAAAGGUGCUGGGUCUUCUCUGAUCUCGGAAGCUAAGCAGUGUUGGGCCUGAUUAGUACUUGGCGUGCGAGACCACCUGGGAAAACCGGGUGCUGUUGGAU